rnacentral:lncRNA from 1 species
ACCCUAGGCAGGCACUGCUCCGUGAUCCAGGAACCACCUCUCUCUACAGCUGGGAGUGAGCAGUCAGAGAGGGAGACAGCCUUGCCCGGUGCUACCCAGCAAGCUAGUCACCGAGUGGGCAGAGGGAGGAGCGGCCCUCACCGGAUGUCAAGCAGCCUGGGUCCCCAGUCCAGCUCUGCCUGUCCCUCGCAAUAACGCCUCAGAUGGGGAAACUGAAGCCCAAUGUCACGGAGGUAGGAAGGGGCAGACGUAGACUUGGAAGGAUUCUGUGGCCUGUUCGAGGUUCCGUGCAUGAGCCGUGCUCCGUGGAGAGCCAGGUCUACCGUUCCAGCCUUUGCUCUCCCAGGCCCCUGGCUGUCCAUGUCCCACACCACCCUGACACCUGAUACUUGACACCCGUGUCACCAACAGCUACAGUGCACCACGGCCUUGGAACACCGCACUCAGUGCUCUGCCUGGAUGAGCCCUGUACCCCCAUGACGACCCCACUGUGGACAUUCUUAUGUCCAUUUUACAGAUGACGAAACUGAGACGGGCGGAUGCAGUGUUGUGCACAAGCCACACAGCUGGAAACGUGGGCUGGGGACUGGAACCCAAUUACCCGCUUUGGCUCUAUAAUCCUCUUUUUAUUUUUAUUUAAUUUUUUUAUGAGAUGGAGUGUAGCUCUGUCGCACAGGCUGGAGUGCAGUGACACGAUCUCAGCUCACUGUAACCUCUGCCUCUCGGGUUCAACCCAUUCUUGUGUCUCAGCCUCCCAAGAAGCUGGGAUUACAGUUGUGUGUCACCACGCCUGGCUAAUUUUUUGUAUUUUUAGUAGAGAUGGGGUUUCCCCAUGUUGGUCAGGCUGGUCUCGGACUCCUGACCUCAGGUGAUCUGCCCACCUCUACCUCCCAAAGUGCUGGGAUUACAGGCAUGAGCCACCGUGCCCGGCCCUUUAAUCCUCUUUUUAAAACACCUUAGGAUAUGAUAUAUCCAGAAUAGGCAAAUCCAUAGACACAGAAUGCAGAUCCGUGUGCCAGUGGCUAGGGGGUGAAGAGGAACUGCUGAAUGAGCGGGCGUUUCCUCCUGGGGUGACCAGCAUGUUCUGCGACUGCAGAUGAUGGCUGUGCCACCUUGUGAGGGUACUAAAUGCCGCCGAAUGGUACACCUUAAACUGGUUGAUUUUAUGUUAUAUGAACUUCCCUUCCAUACAUUAUUUGAGGCUGGGCACGGUGGCUCACACCUGUUAUCCCAACACUUUUGGAGGCCGAGAUGGGUGGAUCAUCUGAGGUCAGGAGUUUGAGACCAGCCUGACCAAAAUGGUGAAACCCCGUCUCUACUAAAAAUACAAAAAAAUUAGCUGGGUGUGGUGGCGCAUGCCUGUAAUCCCAGCUACUCAGGAGGCUGAGGCAGGAUAAUCGCUUGAAUCCGGGAGGCAGAGAUUGCAGUGGGCCUAGAUCGUGCCAUUGUACUCCUGCCUAGGUGACAGAGCAAGACUCCGCCUCAAAAAUAAAAAAUAAAAAAUAAAUUAUUUGGAAAAAAAACCAGCUUAGGUUUUUCUGCCACCUGUUUGGCAAGAGUCUGGGUGUCCCCACAGGCCGUCUUCAGCUGUUCUCCUAAUGCGGUCUGUGUGCUAGCAGGAGAGACGUCGAGACAUCCUCUGCCCAGCAGGAGCGUCCGUCACCUCUCCCAGGAAACAUUCCUGGCUGUCCCCACCAGCUCCAAAGUCUCCACCUCUCAAACACCAUGUCUUCUUUGGUGUCUGGGACACAGGCUGUUCUUGGCCAGGCCACAGCCUCAUCAUGCAUGGCUCUGCCCGGUGGCUCACGGGCUCUGUCCACAACACCGGGGGACAGGUGCUCUUAUCUCUCCCAGGAGUCAGGAUGAGACGUGCAUGCAUGUAUUGCCAGCUUCUCUUGGGAUCCUGGGUGCUUCCUCAGCCCUUGGCCGUCCCUUGGCCUGGGCUCCCCACCUCUCUGGCACCCAAGACUGGUGGAAAAGGAAAGCCCUCUCGUUCUGAGUUGAGAUCUCAGAACCCUUGGCCUUUCUGCAGGGCCUCCAAAGGCGUCUGGUGGACCCUGCACCUGCUCUGCAGCGCCCCCUCCAGGCCUUCUUGCACGGGACAGUGACAGGGAGUUCUGUCUCAGAGCGAGUCCAGCAGGGCCUCCACAGAGUGCAAGGUUGCCUGCCCUGCCUGUGGAAGAGCAAGCCUUGUCCCCUGUUUCCCAGACCCCCUACUCAGUGGCCUCUGAAUGUCCCCAAUGUGGGCCCCUCCCUGGCUGCCCCUCUUGCUCUCCAAGUCCGAGCCCACCCAGAGCCCAAGCCCUCGGAGGCCCCUGCCACCUGGAAAGAUGACACUGGGGCAGGGUUCUCUUCUGAUGUCUGUGUUUUGUCUUGUGGGCCUUGGGGUGCCCCUGCCCCUGAUAAGAAGGGGUUUCAGAGCAGAAAUAAAGCCUCAGACAGGUGAGCCUCUGUGGCACAUGGCCCCUCGAGCCAGCCAUGCAUCUGGGUUCAGCCCCUGCCAGGACACUUGACCAGGCCCCUUACCUUCUCCGAGCUGGGAUCAUGCUGGGAAGACUGAAUGGGACGCAGCCGGUGAAAACGCCUGGAAGAGAGUAAACGCCAUUUUCUCUAAGCAUAUUUAUUUCUUUAACAACAGUGACGACCAUUUGUGAGCCAUCUCUCUGUCUCAGGCACGGUGCUACAUGCCAACGAAACCUGCUCCCAUUGAACCCUGGCCAGCCAGUGAAGAAAGGGUUGGGCCUGGGAGGUGCCACUUUACAGACAGGGGCACCAAGGGGCAGGGUGGCAGGAGGCCCACCGGACGUUCCCCAUGAAGUAGCAGUACCAGCAUCCACACCCAGCAGGCACCACGCUGGCCCGCAGCCUCCCUGCCAGCACGCCUGGCUUCCCGGCCUCGGAACUUGAUCUGCUCCCUCUUCCGGACACUGGGGCUCCUGCCAAGUCCUGGGCUGGGCAGCAACUGCUGAACAUUCUAAGAAAUCCCUCCCAGGGUUUUCUCAGGAGCCCGGGUGGGGCAGGAAGUCCCCAGGGGCUGAGGGGACCGUGGCGGCAGGUGGCACCCAGAGCAGCACUCUCCUGGGGCCCAGGCUGUUGGGCCAGAGGCAGGACUGUGAGGCCUAGUGUAGGGCCUCCUGCCAGUGGCCGGCACCUACUUGUGGGGCUGGGGGUUCCCCCAGCAGGUUGGGCUCCCCACCUGACACACUCACAGACCUUGUGCCUUGGAGAGCCAGUGUUCCCGGGGCCACAUAGCUAUGCCGCCCAGGGGCUGGGCCUGUCCCAGCUCUGGUCCCCCGGCCCCAGGUCCUGGACGCUGGCUCCGCGCAGCAGCAGGCGGCCUCCGGAGGACACGAUGUGACUGGCUGCCGCUACGUCGCACUCAGAUGAGUCUGCGCCGGAUCGACCUGCUGCCGAGUCCUGCCGGACAGGCACAGGCAGGGAGUGAAAAUUAUCUACCCCUUUUUAUUUCUUAAUAACUGAAUGAAAAUAAACAUUGGUGGUUUGACAAAUAACUACAUAUUUUCAAACCCAGCCAGUCCAGGGGAUGCAGUUUCCAGGUGCGUUAUGCAACAGGACGCCGCCGAGAUGCUCUGAGAUGUCCCUUGGCUGUCUCACGGGUUGUCUCUGGGUUCCCUCCCACCCCCACUCUCCUUUGCCACCCUCUCCCCAGCCCCCACUACCCUUUCACGCUUCUAAAUUCAAGGGCCACACUGUCCCCUGAACAGACCAAUCACAAUGAGAUCCAUUAUAGUUCCAAAGAUACCACGAAAAAAAAAAAAAAACGUGGGGGGUGUCCAGGAAUGCAGCCGCACCCCAGAGAGCAGUACAAUCAGCUAUUGUUGUGCUAGAAGUUUCUCUGUGAUAAGAAGGGAAUCUAGCAAUGCCGCCUUCUGAACUGAUUGCAAAACAGAAUAGAAAGUUCAAGGCCCCGAGAUAGCUAAGCUAGCAGCCCCUCCAGAGCAGCCCCAGGCCACACAGCUGGGCUUUGGGGCUGGCCAGCCCCUGUCCUUGCAUGCAUCUGCACAGGGCUCCUUGCAAGGGGGCCCGGCUCCAUAUCCCCCACCUCGCCCCCUCCCCAUCUGGGCCUGGGGCGGCUGAGCUGGCUUCCUGCACUGAGGGGACCCUCCGGCCUCCUUCCUGAAGCAGCUGCCCUUCCCCGAGGGACUCCCGGGUGAGGGCCUCCCACAUUGUCUGCUUUAGUGAUGCUGGUUCUCCCACAGACGCUGCCUGUCCACCCCGCACAGAUGGCAUGACUGUCCUCCCCUUGCCCGGGCAGGGAUACGGCGGCACAGAGAUGGGGGCCGAUGGCUAGGACCUGAACUCCAAGCUGUGGGCCCCAGGUUUUUCAUCUGCUUAGGCCACUCCCCACUGCCCAGACGUCCCCUGGGGUGUCCGGUUUGCUGGAAGGGCCACCACUGGCCUUGAGCUCCCAGUGUCAUUUCCGGGCGCUGACGCGUGAGGGUCUCCAACAGGCGGGCCCACGGGAAGUGCUUUCUGUGCUUGGCCCUUCAUGCUUUGCCUCUGGUUCCUGAAAUGGGCACUGGAGGUGGGCACAGUUACUGUCCACAUUUCACAGGUGAGCAAAGUGAGGCUUAGAGAAGCUAAGUGACUUGUCCAAGGUCACACAGCAAAAGAGGGGCCUCGAACAGAACUAAAGGGCCCAUGGUGCACAGGCAGAGGUUGCCAUAGAGCGACCAGGGCCUUCUCAAAUCCGGCUGUGAGCAGAAACUUCUCCCGCCCCCCCGGGCCCACCAUGGUGACCUGUGGAGUGCCUCCAUGCGCCGAGAUCGCUUAUCAGCCCAUCAGCACUGGUCACGGCCACUUUUAUGGUCUGUGUUCUCUCGUGUGUCUGUAUUCGUGCGACGUUCCUUCAUUCAGGCAAUAUUUGCUGAGCAUCCAGGAGGCCCCCGUUUAUUCAUUUAUCAUCCAGCAAACACCGCGAGGCGGCUGCCAGCUGGGGCCGGGCUCGGUGCGGGCUCCCGGGUGGGGGCGGGCAUCACGGGGCACUGCGUGGCGGAUGUGGGGAGGGUCGUGAUGGGGAGGGACGUGCUAGGUGUGCACAGAGAUGCUGGGGUGCAGGAGCGGGUGUCUCUCUGAGCACAUGGCCCGGAAACUGAGGGCUGUGGGUGCACUAAUGUGGGGGAGAGACCAACUUCCUUUCACUGGAGCCCUCAAAGUUUCUGGCAGGGAUAACCAGGAUCCUAGCGUCUGACACUAAGUUCAGGGAGGUCACAGGACGUGCUGGAACCAGGAGUUCAGGGUUCAAGCCCAGGCCUUUCUCCUCAUAUUGAACGGGCCUCUCCUGGUACCAUGGGGUGCCCUUGAUCCAAAGCCCCCAGUGAGGAACAUCUCACGGUAUGUGGGGAUGGGCCUUUGCCAUAGCAGCCCAUGCAAGGCCUUGGGGCCAGAGCCAGCCCCGCAGGGACCCUCCUUGCACUAUUCUUCACAUACACCAUUGAGGACAAGAGGAAGGGACACCCCUGGCCUGGCCAUGUGGUGACAGCUCCCUGUGCAUUGACCCCCAGGGGUGCUGCGAUCUAGGAGUGGCCAUGAGACGAGGGGGAGGGAGACACUUUCCCGAUGGUGUGGCGGGCAGGUCUGGCAGGCAGGGUUAGGCGGGGUCGUGGAAGAGGCUGUCCUGGCCCAGAGGCUGCCAGGCCUGGCCUGGGGCUGGCUCCUCUUCCAGGAAAGGUGUGAGGCCUCUUGUGGCUCAGCACUUUGGAAAGUCAGCCAAGUUCUAAGCUUACAGGUGCAUGAAGGUUCCAUGUCUGUGGUUUCAAGAACAUAAAAGUGGGGUGGGAGGCCCUGGGAGGUGGUCCUGUGUGGGGGCAGCCAAGUAGGGGGCGUGGGAUGGGGAAUGAGGUAGGGGAUGGAGUAAGAUGUGGGAGAAGUGAAGUGGGGGUGAAAUGGGGAAGUGGGAGUGGGAGGGGAGGAAGGGGCAGGUGCUGGGAAGUUGGCCCUUGUGGCCCUAAUCUGUCUGUGACAGCUUCCGCUCCUACCCAUCCACAGGGACAAGAACAAGUAUCCCCUUCCCCAGCCUGCUCCCUCUUAAAAAAAAAUCCUCUUCCUAUUUAGUAUGCAACAGGUGCUCAAUGUGUGCUCCUACCGUUCUCCAGGAAAGGAGGGAGCUAAGCAGGACACAGCCCAGAGCUCAGCACUCCCCUAGCCUCCCACCCUCACCUCCCAAGGCAAGGGCCAAACCCAACGGUCUGGCUGGGGACCCCCACCAGCCUCCCCCACCAUGGAUGGAGGUGGCACGUCUUGAGGCCCAGAGGGGGCAGACAUGACGUCCAAGGCUACACAGUGAGUCUAGACCACAUGGCCUGCUCCUCACGCCCUGGAGAAAGAAAAGGCAGCCCAAAGCAGGGAGGGUCAUGCCCCACCUGGAGUGGGCCUUGAUGACCUUGACGUCCCCUUCCCACCUUGAAAUAUUUAACAAUUCUUCCGGAGUUUCCCCAAGGAGGCCUAUUCACACAGGCGGGCCAUCUGAUGAUCUGCCCCUGGGGGGUUUCUCCUGCAGCCACCUGGGAGGGGCGUGGCACUGGACAGGGAGGUCCCUUUACCCCACACAAGAAGGAAGAGCCG